AUGGCGGCUAAGCUUGCCAUUCUGAUCUCAUGCGCCAUGCUCCUAGACGCGGCGUGCCAUGGCCUCGAGGUGGGCUACUACAGAAGCACGUGCCCCAGAGCCGAGGCGCUCGUGCGCGCCGAGGUGAAGAAGGCCGUGCGCGCCGACGCCGGCUCCGGCGCCGGCAUCAUCCGCAUGCUCUUCCACGACUGCUUCGUCGAGGGCUGCGAUGCCUCCGUGCUGCUGGACCCCACGCCGGCCAACCCGCAGCCCGAGAAGCUGGGGGCGCCCAACAACCCCAGCCUCCGGGGCUUCGAGGUGAUCGACGCCGCCAAGGGCGCCCUCGAGCGCGCCUGCCCGGGCGUCGUCUCCUGCGCCGACAUCGUCGCCUUCGCCGCCCGCGACGCGUCCUACCUCCUCAGCCACGCCAGGGUGAGCUUCCACGUCCCCGCCGGCCGCCUCGACGGCCGCAGGUCCCUCGCCAACGACACGCUCCUCUUCCUGCCUGGCCCGACCUCCAACCUCAGCACCCUCGUCUCCGGCUUCGCCGCCAAGGGCCUCUCCGCCGAGGACAUGGUGGUGCUCUCCGGGGCGCACUCCAUCGGCCGGUCCCACUGCUCCUCCUUCGUCCCCGACCGCCUGGCCACCCAGUCCGACAUCGGCGCGCCGCUCGCUAGCCUCCUGCGCCGCCGGUGCCCGGCCAGCCCGACCACCGCCAACGACCCCACGGUGGUGCAGGACUUCGUGACGCCCAGGAAGCUCGACAACCAGUUCUACAAGAACGUGCUCGCGCGCAGGGUGCUCUUCACGUCCGACGCCGCGCUGCUCUCUUCGCAGGACACGGGGAGGAUGGUGCGCGCCAACGCCAGGUUCCCGGCGUCGUGGGAGAAGAAGUUCGCCAAAGCGAUGGUGAAGAUGGCCAACAUCGAAAUCAAGGGCAGCGGCGUCGGCGAGGUCAGGAAGAACUGCCGCUUCGUCAACUAG
rnacentral:rRNA from 1 species